rnacentral:piRNA from 1 species
UGCGAAUGAUGCAACAGAUGCGCGGGC